rnacentral:misc_RNA from 1 species
GAUAAGAACGUAGCGAAAUGCGAUAAGUAAUGUGAAUUGCAGAAUUCAGUGAAUCAUCGAAUCUUUGAACGCACAUUGCGCCCGCCAGUAUUCUGGCGGGCAUGCCUGUCUGAGCGUCAUUUCAACCCUCAUGCCCCUAGGGCGUGGUGUUGGGGAUCGGCCAAAGCCCGCGAGGGACGGCCGGCCCCUAAAUCUAGUGGCGGACCCGUCGUGGCCUCCUCUGCGAAGUAGUGAUAUUCCGCAUCGGAGAGCGACGAGCCCCUGCCGUUAAACCCCCAACUUUCCAAGGUUGACCUCAGAUCAGGUAGGAAUACCCGCUGAACUUAAGCAUAUCAAUAAGCGGAGGA